GUCUAAUUGUUCCUUUGCUACUACUAUAUACCAGAACGUUACAUUCUGCUGGAUGAAACUCUGCAGCAGUUAUAACUUCUGUUAAUUCCUCCAUAUUAGUUGGCUUAAUAUCUACUAUAUCUGUAUACAAUGGUGCCAAAGAUUAAUUCUAAGGUCAUCAGCACUGAGGUAUGUUUCCUGGUCACUGUUGACGCUUAUACUGUUUAUAUGAUAAGUGUGCGCAUUGGCAAAUAUUCUUCUCGGCGACGCUUCCACCAUCAACUCCAUUGGUUUUAUAGAUGGUACCUGAGCAAUUAAAUGGCCAGUGAUUUCAGGUAAUCGAAUUCAGGUUCAUGACUCUGGAAGGUGCUAUAUACAUUGUAUUCACCCCUCCGUGGUAUACUGUUUUUACUCUACACAAAUGAUAACAUUUUCUUAUUAUUGCACGAUAUCUGAUUCAAAAUAGAAAAACCUAUUCAAAAUGAUUGUUCUUUACAUUGUGUUCGAUGAUUAUCUUUAGAAAGUUUCUAAAGAUAGAGAAAUGUAGCAUGCUGUACACAUAAGGUUGGCAAUAAUCCAAUAGUAAGGUAUAUAAUCAUUUUUAUUUAAAGGACACAUUUCUCUUGUUUAAAAGUGCAAAGACUAUCAUGCUAAUGUCUAAAAUUCUAUGUCUGUGUGCAUGUGCUGAUAAUUAAUUUUUAUUGAUUUAAUUUAUCAAUAAAAAUAUUAGUUAUCUC